rnacentral:lncRNA from 1 species
AGGCUGCAGGAUGCUCCGGCCUUGCUAGUGGCCGUGCAGCUGGGCAUCGUGACGGGCACACUGGUGGCCCAUGGGCCGCGUGGGGGGAGGGGGAGGCUGCCGGGAGUUGCCUUUUGUCACCCAACCUCCUCCAGGUCCGCCGCGGAUGGAAAGGCCGUUGGAGCUGAUGAAAGGCGAGGGGGCAGUCGGGGUCUUGCCUGCCCCCUCUCCCCUGGCAGGGCGCUGGUCCUUGGGGCCCCUCCCGUCCUCAGGCACCUUGCGCCCCUUCUUUUCUUCCAUCUCUUGUCCUCUCUGUUUCAGACGACAGCAGAACGGGGGCGGGAAGUCCUGCUGCUCUGCAGGGGCAGGACGCCCUGGGGAACCUGAGGCGAAGCUCCUCCUUCUCCCGGUUCCGCGAGUCCAUCAAGCGUGGCAGCGAGAAACUGGUCUCCAAGCUCAGAGGGGAAGGCGUUCGCCGCCCCAGCCCUGCUGCGGCCCCAGGGAUGAAGAGGGCCACCUCCCUCAACAUGCUGCACGUCGGUGAGCGAGCGGCUGCGCUUUCUGCGUCCCCCGCGCAGCCCGCCUGGAACCCGGCCAGCGCCCGCACACUGAGCUCCAGCACGCAGGACCUCACGCACAGCCGCUCCACCUAGGAGCUCCCUGGCCCCGCCCGGCCCUGCGAGACCGGCGCCCGACCUUGUCUGCUUCAGCUCAGCCAGCGCCAGCCUUCGCCGUGGCUCCCAGGGCUCCCGGAACAGGACUGGCUGCUCCCCGGGGCCCAGCGGAGCCCCCGGCCUGGCACCUCCGCGGAGCUAUCGGCACCCUGGCGCCUGAGGGCUGCCGCCUGCCCGGAGCAAACCCUGCGGCCCGCCGGAGGUGCGACCAGGAUGCGAAGCGCCCAGCGCCAAGGAGAAGCGACUGCGGCUGCCCAGGACGCUGGAGAGCGGCCCGCGGCCCUUGCAGGAACAGCAAGUCGGUCGGUGCUGCCGCCGCUGCCUUAAGCCAUUUGCCAGGUAACCUGCACUUUUCUGUCCCCGUCCUGGCAGAAGAAGCGCUGCUGCCCCUGCAGCCAGGAGCCUAUUUAUUCUAUUUAUGCAACCGGGAGCUGAACCCUCCCUCCACCCCAAUAAAUGGAUGUAAUUUGAUGCUGACUCGCUUGGA